GCAGUUUUGAGGAAGAGUGAGGUCACAUCCUGUCAUGAUCAAGACAUUAAUGGAUAUGACAAAGAUCCCAGAUGAAAAGCAACUUCUGAACCACACCACUGGCAUCCUGAUUAAAGCAAACAUAAGCAAGCCGAACCCAGCAAGACAUCUGGAACCAUCCCUAAGAGUGACCAUCCACUAGACAGGACCCAACCCUGCCAUGAGUGGAAUCAACUUCCUGUCUCAUGAGACUGCAGAUUUCAAAUCCUGUGCCUCUCCAUGGCUUCCUGAGCUCCUAACCACACUCUGACAGGCAUGGCAUCUAUGCAAAAAGGGAAAUGAGUGAGGCCAGUUGAAGAAUUAUAUAAUCCUCCAUUUUAAAAAUAGGACUGGGUAUUUUUGGAAAGAACUAGCUGGGUGAGUUAUUUAACAGCCUUUCUGGCUAGCCUGUGGAAACUCAGAAAAUGGCAUUCUCUCAGGGUCUCUAGAAAGAUGUGUUACCUGGUACAGCCAAAGAAGACUGAAGAUGCCCAGGCUGGGCUGAACCUGGGACAAUGCAGAGAUAACCUGGUCCUUUGUAAGCUGUGGACUGGCCCUGUAAUGCACGCUGGGAAGAGAGGAGUUUGGAAGCCACUCCCCAGGAUGGAUCUCUGUAGGCAAAUCCUUUCAACAGCUACUGUGAAGCCCUCUGAGCGAUGCGAUUGAUUAAGGUUGACAAAAGCCUGGCAAUGGCUUCCACUCCCCACUUCUUGUUCCCAUGUUAGACAUUAUUAAUCAAUUACAACUCUUUCUCUACAAGCCCCAGAACCAAUCCUUUACACAAAUCUCCCAGAAGCCACCAACAAUCAGUGGGAGUUGGCACGAGGUGAGACUUCUCCAGUCUGUCUGCAGUAGCUAGUAAGUGGUGCACUGGCUUCAGUUUGGACCACUGCUACAUCGUGGAGUUGACCUGUUGAAAUUGAUGAGCUAUUCUGACAUCAGUAAUGCUCCCUGCAGCUUAGAGUUCAGGACUUCCGUUGUGAUACAAAUACAGCUGCUUGGAGAAUGAAAAUAUUCAUAUAUUUUUGGAGCUAAUUCUAAGUACUUUCAAGUCUGUGCCAAAAUUAAAACUGUUCAGAAAUACUCUGAUUCUCUUCUCCUUUGGGCCCAUGAUAAGUUUGCACUUCUCCUGCCCCUUUUCAAGUGAGACUAUGGCCAUGUGACUUGGUUUGGCCGAUGAUACAUGAGUAGAAGUGACAUAUGUCACACAAGUGAAGUCUUAAGAGCCAGUGUAUGAUCCACCAUGCUCCCUCUCCUCUGCCCUGGUGAUGGUAGAAGCAUAUAUGGAGGUGCAGCUUCCCCAGCAAGGGGUCUUGCAUGACUGUGAGAGACAGUAUCUCCUUGCUAACACACAUUGGACAUGAACAUGAGUGAGAAAUACAUAUUUUUUUGUAGUAAGCUGCUGAAAUUUGGGGAUUGUUUGUUCCUGCAGCAUUGCUUUACUUAUCCUGACUUUUACAAACACUUUCAGCUAGUCAUUCCAUCGGAUCCUCUCAACAACCACGUAAAAUAGGAAAAAUGCUAUUAUCUACAUCAUACAAAUAAGAUGACGAAUGCCCAGAGAGGUUAAAUAAUUAAGAAACACUGAAACCUUUUACAUUAACUGACCAACACCUAUUGCCAAAAUGGAAAUGUAUAUGCUCUGAUCAUAUAAUUUUUACAAGAAGUGGUGCAUUUAAGCAAGUCAUAGAUCUCACUGAAAAAUUAAAUAUUGUCUGAAAAUUGACCCAGAAGCACCAAACACAAUCAUCCAAGAAUAAAG
rnacentral:lncRNA from 10 species